GACAGAGGGGGCAAGCGUUGCUCGGAAUUACUGGGCGUAAAGGGCGCGUAGGCGGGAUGGCAAGUCGGUCGUGAAAACCUGCAGCUUAACUGUGGGCGUGCGGUCGAUACGGGCAUCACUGGAGUUCGGCAGGGGGAGACUGGAAUUCCUGGUGUAGCGGUGAAAUGCGCAGAUAUCAGGAGGGAACACCCGGUGGGCGAAGGCGGGUCUCUGGGCCGAUACUGA
rnacentral:rRNA from 1 species